UUUUUUUUUUUUUUUUUCAGAUGGAGUCUCACACUGUUGCCCAGGCUGGAGUUCAGUGGCGUGAUCUCAGCUCACUGCAACCUCCGCCUCCUGGGUUCCAGUGAUUCUCCUGCCUCAGGCUCCCAAGCAGCUGGGACUACAGGCGCGCGCCACCACACCUGGCUAAUUUUUGUAUUUUUAGUAGAGACGGGGUUUCAUCAUAUUGGCCAGGCAGGUCUCAAACUCCUGACCUCGUGAUCCACCCGCCUUGGUCUCCCAAAGUGCUGGGAUUAUAGGUGUGAGCCACUGUGCCUGGCCCAGCUCGACCACUUAAACAUUUCCAGUUACAUGAUUUUGUGACAUUCAAUAUAUAUGAAAUUCCUAUAAAAUAAUUGUUAUUCCUCUCAUUUUGCUUAGAGAAUGAUGGGCCAUUUUAUAAUUUCUACUUGGAAGGAAUAACUAGCAACACAGUUCAAGCAGACAAUUCAAGAAUGAGGUCCUCUUUCACCAUUAGUUUUCUACAUAUUUCAGGAAAAGUCAGUCAAAUUGAGCCUAAAUUCUAAAGAUAGACCUAAACGCUCCACCACGUUUUUAAAAUUAUGCAGGCUACAAAUAACUGCACACAGUUGGCUGGAGCCCAUUUAUUAAACGUGCACUUUCCUCACCAGCAGGCUAAGAGGACAUCAGGGCGCCCGUCCACACCGAGCCCUCACCUUCCCCAAGCUCUUACACCGUCAGCAAAACCCAUACCCUCAGCUCUUUCCUGUGAAGCCAGGAUCUCUAUGAAACAAAUGGAAUAAUACAUUGGAAUAACACAUUUUCUGCACAGUUUUUCUAAUUUCUAUAAUUUUCAUUUCCAAGUUAACUGAAGAGUGAAAUUGAUUUGUUUGAUAAGCCGAGAGUUAGCAGGUCCUACAGUUAACCGUAAUGCACGGGUCACCCCGCCUCAAGGCAAGAGUUCAAAAUAAGCGGAUUCAGCGUUUAGUUUGUCAGAGGGAAAGACUUUGUCUUUUUUUUAAAAAUGAAGGCUCUGUGUUACCCAGAAGAUACAGAAUCAGGCAGGAGCCAGGCUUGCCAGGACCACAUCCUCUCUCUACAGACUGGGAAAGUUUCUCCAACAGCAGGAGUCAGGCUCACAGCGGGGCAGGCAUAUACGUGGCCUACCAUCUUCGGGCCUCAGACUUUCCAUUAAAAAACAGGGAUAACAACAAGAUCCAACCCUACGCAUAGGUUAUCGGGAUUCAACACCAUUUUUAAAUGUCUUAAAAUUAUAAGGUACGCUACGAACGUAAGUUUUUAGAAUAAGGCAUGUCACUCCCUGAUUACAGACAUGCGCUUUCGUUCUGCAGUUGAUCCUGGAAGCAUGUCCCAGUGGUUUCCCCAACCUCAGUGACAGCUCAGUGUCUUCAUUCCACUAGAUCACUACUAGGUCCUUUCCAAUUUUAUAUACUUUUGAGGAAGAAAUGUGAGUUGACAGAUGCUCUACCAAGUAGCCACCACCACCCAGGGAUACCACCACCAUGAUGAUGGAAUUGAUGGCCACAGUAUGAAAGUUUUUAAGAGCUCUGCCUAUUGUUCCCAAGGACUCUAUCUCCCUGACACACUGUGACAUGUGAAGAAACGUCAGUAGCAUGGCUGGCCGGGCUGGAUUCCUCCUGGUCCCUUACUACCUCUUUCUCUUUACCUUCUCCUUUGAGCCUUAGCUCUCCAUGCCAGCCACACUGGCCUCCUUCCUGUUCUGGAACAUACCGGGCAACCUGCUGCCCCAGAGCCUUUGCACUGCUGUUCAUCCCCUUUGCCUACCUGGAUUCUUCCCUUAACAUCAAGAAGACUGGCUUUUCCCCACCUUCAGGUUGCUUGGCUCAAAUUUCCUUUUCCCCCCUCUCCCUUUCCUGCUUCAUUUCUAGAGCGUUUCACCACCUGUAGUGCUUCAUGUCCUAAAUGCACAACAAAAUUAAGUUUACUUCCUAGGUUUCAAAGGCUGACAGUCCACUGAAGACUUGCCCACUUUCUGUUAAUUCUUUUUAGCUUGAAAAACCAAAUCUGUUUCUCUCUAGCCUAUCCUUUACUAUUGCUCAAAUGGAUGAAGUAGUUUUGAGACAGUCUAUAUGUAAUAAUUGUCAUCUUUGUAAUGAAAACAUGCAGAAAUUUAAUGGUUUGAAUAAAUUUAAAAAUUAAAGUGAGAUCUCACCAUUUUUGCCAUCGUCCUUUCUGCCUCCAACUUUCUACCUUUCUCAAACACCCCAUAAGUAAAGUUCCUUUUAUGUUGUUGUUGUUGUGCCUAAAAGAACUGUAAAAGGUGGCAAAAGCUGAGAAUGACACAAGACUCAUCUGUGACCAAUUCUCCCAUCAGCCUCACGGGUGGGUGACUUGGAGCUCUCCAACCCAAUGGGACUUCCUUCUUUCUCCUCCACUGGCCACCACCAUGGUGGGCAGGGGGGCCAAGAGUGGGAAGCAGCUCUUUGAGCCGGGGGAGGCUGUGGUUGGCAGGAAGGGAGGGGGCUUUCCUGGACAGGCCAGGGAUGCCUGUACAAAGAAUGAGAUCAAUACUCUUAACGCAGGCUUCAGAGCCGCCUACGAAAAGGAGCCAAGAAACCUAACAAUGGGGAAGUUUCUGGAAUACUACCGUGUAUGACAGAGACUGAGCACAGAAUGAAAUACCAGGAGAGUAUGGCCACAAGGCCACCGAACAGCUCAGGGCAAGCUAACAUCUAGGAAUCGGGAGAGGAGCAGAAUCAAAGCUACUAUUUUUCAGAGAAGAAAACUCACAACCACCACCUCAUCUGAUGCACCCCAGGCUCGCGCAGGGGUGAAGCGGUGAAACAUCUGAGUGGUCCCAGCUGUGAAUGGGACCAGUACUGUGAAUGUUCCAGCAAGGACAUCCACAAUCGCAGCAGUGACAUCCCAUGAAACAUGCCAUUAUCUGUGCUCAGCCAAGAUUGGCUACAGGGUGGACACUUAGGAAAAGGAUCAGAGGGGCUGCCCAGAAAAUGGCGCAUGGUGGGAUGCUGCCAAGUUGACUCUGAAGGCACCUAGGGGACAGAGGCCCGGCUUCACACUUCUUCUGCAUCUCCCAGGACAUCUACUCUUGUGCUGACACACGCUGAACUCUCAAUACAUUGAUUGGCUUAAAAUAUCAACUACGUUCCGCCUUUAGGAAAUGGCUGAAGACCCAGUGAAUUCUAAACAGUCCAGCUGACCUGGACAGACCAAGACUCACACAGAUGAAUGCGUAUCACCCAGACUUGUUCUAAGAACUUAAUUAAAUGCUCCCUGCUGGGAAAACUUGGACAUGUUAUUGCAGUGAUUGUUUCAUCUGGAACUAGGACCACUGAUAAGCUAAGCUGCAAAUAAUAGUAAGAUUGCAAACUGAACCAAGGUGUGUCCUUUCUACUGGACCACUGAAACUUUCAUCUAUCCCCAAACACCAAAAUGCCCUUAUAUGUGGAAGCUACAAAACCUUUAGGAGAAAAUUAUCAUUUAAAAAACUUGUCAAAACAAAUAAUCUCAACAAUGUCUGCAAAUUCAUUGAUGCUUACAUCUAAAAGGGUUUUGUGUAGCAUUUGUAUCUGGUAUUUUCAUACAGUUCAAUAUUAAAGUUCCAAUAUUUUCUCUUUUGCUUUCUCAGCCAGCUAAAUUAAAGUUAGUUUUCUGAAACUGACUGCAGUUAAAAUAAAUUUACAAUCCUGGAUUUAUAAUACAUUAAAAGAGAAAAAGAGAUUUGGUACUUUUGCAACUAAUACAUUUUGCUAAAGCACACCCAAAUAUACUUUCAGUUCAACUAUACACUUAGUAGAUGUCUACUUGGCAACAUAACAAAAGUUAUUUGUACAAGUCUCCGCACACUCAUCUGACAUAUAGAACUGGAAGAGGGCAUGGGUAGCUCACGGAUUUGUUUUCUGUUUCAUUUGCAGAUGUGAAAUGUUACUGUAGGUCGCUUUUACGCAGAAAGACAAUAAAAAGUGAAUAUCUAC
rnacentral:lncRNA from 1 species